UUCCUGUUCUUUGACCUCCAGGUACUUGACUGUGUAGAGGCGUGAAAGGUGCUGUGUUCUCUCUCAGCAAAUUUCUUGCCUUUUGCAGCUGAGCAUCUAGGCCUCUACUACUGUUGGGA
rnacentral:precursor_RNA from 15 species